rnacentral:lncRNA from 1 species
GAGGGAACACGGACGACCAAGAACCCGAGUCGCACCGUGGCUUCUGCGGGUGCGACGCCCGCAGUCACAGGCAGCUCAACGACACCUUCCGCCGGGACAGCGUCACCGGUGAAUCCUACGAGGGGGGUGGACAUUUUGUGCAACAACUGUCUGGACAAGCUCAUCUUUUGGAAGGCCUCGUAAAACAAAAUAUCAGCUGAGCUUUCACUAUCCACAAGAACACGCCUUACAUCAUAGUUUGCCAUAGUGAGAGAGAUCACCAUGGCGUCAUCGUGGGGAGUCUGAACCCCCUUUACAUCCUCAUCAGAAAAGGUGAUUACAUUGCCGACCCUCUGCCUCUUUACGACGGCCGUCCCUGACGCUUCCGUCGAGCCCCCUGC